rnacentral:rRNA from 1 species
CAGGCUUAACACAUGCAAGUCGAGGGGCAGCAUGGUCUUAGCUUGCUAAGGCCGAUGGCGACCGGCGCACGAGUGAGUAACACGUAUCCAACCUGCCGUCUACUCUUGGACAGCCUUCUGAAAGGAAGAUUAAUACAAGAUGGCAUCAUGAGUCCGCAUGUUCACAUGAUUAAAGGUAUUCCGGUAGACGAUGGGGAUGCGUUCCAUUAGAUAGUAGGCGGGGUAACGGCCCACCUAGUCUUCGAUGGAUAGGGGUUCUGAGAGGAAGGUCCCCCACAUUGGAACUGAGACACGGUCCAAACUCCUACGGGAGGCAGCAGUGAGGAAUAUUGGUCAAUGGGCGAGAGCCUGAACCAGCCAAGUAGCGUGAAGGAUGACUGCCCUAUGGGUUGUAAACUUCUUUUAUAAAGGAAUAAAGUCGGGUAUGGAUACCCGUUUGCAUGUACUUUAUGAAUAAGGAUCGGCUAACUCCGUGCCAGCAGCCGCGGUAAUACGGAGGAUCCGAGCGUUAUCCGGAUUUAUUGGGUUUAAAGGGAGCGUAGAUGGAUGUUUAAGUCAGUUGUGAAAGUUUGCGGCUCAACCGUAAAAUUGCAGUUGAUACUGGAUAUCUUGAGUGCAGUUGAGGCAGGCGGAAUUCGUGGUGUAGCGGUGAAAUGCUUAGAUAUCACGAAGAACUCCGAUUGCGAAGGCAGCCUGCUAAGCUGCAACUGACAUUGAGGCUCGAAAGUGUGGGUAUCAAACAGGAUUAGAUACCCUGGUAGUCCACACGGUAAACGAUGAAUACUCGCUGUUUGCGAUAUACUGCAAGCGGCCAAGCGAAAGCGUUAAGUAUUCCACCUGGGGAGUACGCCGGCAACGGUGAAACUCAAAGGAAUUGACGGGGGCCCGCACAAGCGGAGGAACAUGUGGUUUAAUUCGAUGAUACGCGAGGAACCUUACCCGGGCUUAAAUUGCAGAUGAAUUACGGUGAAAGCCGUAAGCCGCAAGGCAUCUGUGAAGGUGCUGCAUGGUUGUCGUCAGCUCGUGCCGUGAGGUGUCGGCUUAAGUGCCAUAACGAGCGCAACCCUUGUUGUCAGUUACUAACAGGUUCCGCUGAGGACUCUGACAAGACUGCCAUCGUAAGAUGUGAGGAAGGUGGGGAUGACGUCAAAUCAGCACGGCCCUUACGUCCGGGGCUACACACGUGUUACAAUGGGGGGUACAGAGGGCCGCUACCACGCGAGUGGAUGCCAAUCCCCAAAACCUCUCUCAGUUCGGACUGGAGUCUGCAACCCGACUCCACGAAGCUGGAUUCGCUAGUAAUCGCGCAUCAGCCACGGCGCGGUGAAUACGUUCCCGGGCCUUGUACACACCGCCCGUCAAGCCAUGGGAGCCGGGGGUACCUGAAGUGCGUAACCGCGAGGAGCGCCCUAGGGUAAAACUGGUGACUGGGGCUAAGUCGUA